rnacentral:rRNA from 1 species
CCUACGGGUGGCAGCAGUGGGGAAUAUUGGGCAAUGGGCGCAAGCCUGACCCAGCAACGCCGCGUGAAGGAAGAAGGCUUUCGGGUUGUAAACUUCUUUUCUCAGGGACGAAGCAAGUGACGGUACCUGAGGAAUAAGCCACGGCUAACUACGUGCCAGCAGACGCGGUAAUACGUAGGUGGCAAGCCUUAUCCGGAUUUACUGGGUGGAAAGGGCGUGUAGGCGGGACGGCAAGUCAUAUGUGAAAACCACGGGCUCAACCUGUGGCCUGCAUUUGACACUGUAGUUCUUGAGUACUGGAGAGGCAGACGGAAUUCCUAGGGUAGCGGUGAAAUGCGUAGAUAUCAGGAGGAACACCAGUGGCGAAGGCGGUCUGCUGGACAGCAACUGACGCUGAGGCGCGAAAGCGUGGGGAGCAAACAGGAUUAGAUACCCGGGUAGUC